GAGUGGUUUAUUUAGCAGGAAAACUGAUAUACAAGAGAACAUGAAGUAUGCCUAUAUAGCCUGUUUGCGUACAAGCCAAACAUCAAAUAGCUACAAACAAACUUAGUCACCUGAUAUUUUAACAAAAACAGAUUAUCACACAGAAUAUAAAAUAAUUACAUUUACCAAUCGCUACUCGCUUGCUUCACCCAACUCAAACCAAAGGGGGCAAAGAUAACCAGGCGACCUCAGAAGAAUUCAAUGUUUUACAAUAGGUAUAAACGUUCAAGAAAAAAAUGGGUUUUAAAUGACAUUAUUAAUCAAACUCAAAAGAUAAACAGUCUUCAAGCAAACUCAUAACCAGGAAGAUACAAGAAGCAACCGGAUUAUAACACAAGAAACAUGAGGUACCAUCUGUGUAUUGGUCGAAAAAUAUUAUAUAUUUAUGUAAAGAAAAGAACAAAGCUCAGUAAGGGUUGUUGUAGUAAUACCCCAUCGGUGGCGGUCCCAUCCCGUUAACCGGUGGCAUCCCAUAAGGCAUUCCGUUUGGGGCAGGACUCAUCUUAGCCAAACUAGCUUGACCUCUCAUCCCUUCUUGCUGAUACUGCUGCCAUAGCUGCUGCUCCUGAGUCAAAAGAUACUGCUUUUUGUCCAUCUCAGCCAUUUGCACAUACGAAGGAGGCGGGAUCGUUAGCGAAGCAGCAAAAGGGUCUUGGUUCACUUUCUGCACGGUUCCAUCAGGUGCAGGGAGCGCUAAUAUAUGGCUGUUGGUCUUACUCGGCAAAGGUAGCGCCACGCUGCUUGAACUCCCACCGGUUAGCUCCGAGGUGCUCACGUGUUGUCUAACAGCUCCUUGAUCGUACAUACCGUUGAGCAGCAACGGGUCUAAACCACCGCCCAUCGCGGCUUUCUGAUGCUCGAGGUUGCUAGCUGUCUCGACCAACGCAAGCUCCCAAUCAGCCUUCCCUUGUUCCGCUGCUGGAUUCUGCCAGGCUGAUGUCACCUCGCUGUUAUCAGAAGAGAACGCUUCCCAUUUUCCGUUACUAGUGACAGGGCCAGCGAAAAGGGCAAGAGCAAACUUGUUUCCUUGGUCAUCAGCACUAACACCAUCCUCCCUCAGGUCAACUAGAUCAUUAGUUACUUGCGGUUGCUCCACUUUCGCCUCUGGCUUAGGCGGAGGCGGCGGAGGAGUAUAGUUCUCCGGAGGAGGAAGCGCUUUGAUCUCGUUCAUAUCCACCUCCGCCGCCUCCUCAGGAGCCGGAGGAGGAGGAGCUUCUAUCUCCUUCCUCUCAGGACUCUUCCCCCUCUUAGCUCUAUCCCUCACAAACUCCUCAAGCGUCUCCAACAACUUACUAGUAAUCCUCUGCACCUCAGGAUACUCAGAAGAUCUCGCCACACCAGUGUCUUUACACCAAUGGUAAAACGCAAUGAGCUCAUCAAUCUGUUUCGCCGCGCUAGCGUAAGCAUCAAAGGCCUUAACGCAAUCCGUAUACUCCAUUUCAAAAAACUUAUCAAGAAGAACCGCCAACACUUCACAAAUAUCAGCGUAAAGCCUGAAACUCUCCUUCACAAUAGGAUACAUAGCAACCAAGAUCAUCCUGCUGCUUUUAGCUAAACCGGUAGGACGAGAAGACAAGAACCGGUCAAGAAGCCUCUGUAAAUGCCCCAUCUUCCCAAAAAUCUUCUCUGGCGGCAUGUCUCUUAACGGAGUAACAGUAACAACAUCUCUCCCUCCACCAAUCUCAUUCACAUCUCCAAAGGACCGUGACCUUUUCGGCAUACCGUAACCGUUCUCGUAAUCAUAACCUCUCUGAGGAGGGGGAGAUCGAAAAUCAUCAUUACUCUGGUGACUACUCCCACUCCCUCCACCGUUCUUCCCUUUCCUCUCGAACAAAGCCAACUCUAGCCUCUGAUCCAAGUAGCUAGCAUACGUCCUCACGAAAGCAGAGUGGUCCCAGGAGCUGGAGUGCGCCUCGUCGCGAAAGUCAGACAUGUUGAGGAUCCUCGUGCCUCGCCUCGUCGCGUAGAGGAUCUCCUCCUGGAAGAGCGAGUCGCCGUCGUUGAGGAGGCGGUGGACGAGCAUUAAGGCUUUGAGCGCGACGAUCCAGUCGCGAGUUUUGCCGAGGCGGCGGGCGACGGAGGUGACGCAGGCGUGGACGUAGCCGCGGGAGAGGGAGGUGAGGCUGAGGAUCUCGCGGAUGUACUUCUCCGUGGACUGGUCGUCGUCGUGGCUCGUGGCUUUGACGAUGGCCACUUCCAGAUCUGGAGCUAUGUUGCUGGCGACCUUGGCUAUGCUGAUGCUCGUCUGGUCCUUCACCACGCCGAUCGCUUUGCGUAUGCUCAACGCCAUGGUGGUUAGGUUUGACUCAAACUCUUCAAUUGAAAAAAAAAACAGAGCAAAAAAAGAAAAAAACAGAGCAAGUUCGUUGAGAGAUUGAAGGAGAUUUCGAGUUUAAUCAGCGAAGAUCGUUACGAAAAUUGAAAAUUGAAAAUUGAAAAUUGAAAAUUGAAAAUUGAAAAUUGAAAAUUGAAAAUUGAAAAUUGAAAAUUGAAAAUUGAUAUAUUAGUUUUGGUAGAAAUAUUCUUUAGAAAAAUACCUUUCUUUCGCUAGAUCUGAGGGAGAGAGAAGUGUUCUCCGGUGGAGGAAAUGUUAUUUCUCAGGCGGAGGAGACGGAAUCGGGAUCUGAGAUCUAUGAGGAAGGUGAAGAAGAUCUCAUAUUACGACUUAUUUGGCGGUGUGACAGAUCCAUCGAACGAGUCCAAGAUGAAGUGGCUUUAGACAGAGGGAGAGGAUUUAAAGAGAGCUUGAGUUGAGGAUGACGUGGAUUAAUGAAAGCCGUUUGAUCUAAAGGAGAUGCGAUAUUUUUGUAACCGGAACUAACGGAGCCGUUUUGUCUGAGUCUCAGACUCUCUGGUCUGAACACUGUUAGUGAUUUUUCUUUUUUUCUUUUUUUUUUGUGAAAAGCAAUGUCAACGUUUUGUAGGAGUUUUUAUAAGUGUUUACAGCUGUUUUAUAGUUUCUUUUACCAGAUUAAUCUCUUUAUAUUUCUAAAAAAUAGUAUUUUUAUUAAUUUGUGCAGAUUUUAAUUUUGUUUUCUUAAAAAUAUUAAACAAAAUUUAGAUAGAAAUUCCUUUACUGUUAAUUUUAACAAUAAUUAAUUGUGACAACAAAUAAUUUUCAUAAAAUAUCUCAGUACAUAUUUAAAUUACCUAAUAAUAAUAAUAAAAUGAGAACUAAUAAUAAUAACAAAAUGAGAAAAUAUUUUCAUUUAGUAUUUUCAUGAAAUACUCAUAAAACAUGUUACUUUAUGAAUGGUACAACUUAAAGAAAUAAAAUUAAUUGCAUUAUUAAUUUAUAAUAAAAUAUUAAUAUUUUGUAAAAAAUCAAGAAUGAAGAAGAUGUCAUAGAUCGAGACGCUCUUACACCCUGACGACAGAAUUACUUAGUAGAAACUGAAGUACAUCUUCGUAAAAAAGGCUAAAACUGAAGUACGUUUCUUCUUUGUUUCCCUGUUAAACUUCGAUCAUUCCUUGACACGGCGCUAAACAUGUCAUUAAGCAUUAAAUAUGUAUAUUACAAUGCAAAUCUGUGACUAUCAUAAAAGGCUUGUAAUUGAGAUCUAAUCAUGUCCAAUCACUCCCGUGGAAGCAUAUACUCCAAUAAGCGGCAUGCCAAUAUUAUAUUCUUUCAUGUCAUUUCAUUUUUGUUUAUUCAUGAUUAUCCAUCUUGUUCUGAUUUGUUCAAAAUUUAUGAUUUUGGAUCAUCUCUAUAUCAAUUUUAAGUGGUUUCAGAUAUUUAAACCAACCAGAUCAAGUGACAUGCCCAAACCCAACCAGUCACGAAAUUUGAUAUCAUGGUUCCACAUCCAUUGAUCUCAGUAUAUGUUCCUAGUUCUUUUGUUUUUCCUAGUUUUGAUCGCGCUAACAGAAUGAAAAUAGCGGCUGGUUUUAAUUCUCCGACAAGAGAUAUGCUGUCGCCGACGUUGUUUCCUCUCUUCUGCGUUUUGUUUCUCUGCUUUCCAGUUGCUGUCAUCUUCACAGUCCAGCGAGAAAUCACCGCCGCUACUUCGCCGGAGUUUGGCUUCCACUCACGAAAUCUACACGCUUCUACUUCGGUGGUUCGAUUUCGUCAGCAGAUUCCUAAAGACGACGAACAGCUUCUCCGACUCGCUUCCCGGGUCAACCCGAACCAGCCUUCUCCCGGGUCGAUCCGGAAGCUGGCUUUUAUGUAUCUAACGACGGCGCCUCUUCCGUUCGCGCCAUUGUGGGAAACGUUCUUUAACGGAAGCAGCAAGGAACUCUAUAACGUCUACGUUCACGCGGAUCCGACCCGAGAGUAUGACCCGGCGUUCGCCGGCGUGUUUGAGAAUCGAGUCAUUCACUCGAAGCCCUCGGAACGGAACACACCCACUCUCGCUUCAGCGGCGCGUCGGCUAAUAGCUCACGCGCUUCUCGACGAUCCACAGAACUACAUGUUUGCUCUCUUCUCGCCUUCAUGCGUACCCAUUCGCUCCUUUGACUUCACUUACAAGACGUUGGUCUCGUCUCGCAAGAGCUUCAUCGAGUUACUCAAAGACGAGCCGUUGCAGUUCGAAAGAUGGGCCGCGCGCGGGCCCAUCGCGAUGCUGCCGGAGGUGAGGUUUGACGAUUUUCGGAUAGGGUCUCAGUUUUGGGUUCUGAAACGGAGGCACGCGCUUGUGGUGGCGCGUGAUCGGCGUAUCUGGGAGAAGUUUAACAAGACGUGUUUGUGGGAAGGCUCGUGCUUUCCCGAGGAAAAUUACUUUCCGACACUUCUUAAUAUGAAGGACCCGCGCGGGUGUGUCCCAGCUACGCUCACGCACGUGGACUGGACCAUCAACGAGGAAGGCCACCCGAGGAUGUAUGAGCGAGAGGAAGUGGUACAUGAGCUGAUAGUGCGGUUGAGGAACACGCGACCGAGAUACGGUGAGGAUGGAAUCAACGGUUCGGAUUGGACAAUUGGGAGGAGUGAUCCGUUUCUGUUUGCUAGGAAGUUUUCUCCCGAGGCUCUGGAGCUGUUGAUGGGUAUGGCUCGAACCGUGUUGUUCAAUGACUCGGCAUGUGGUGCGUGAAUGGUUCUCUGAUGGCUUUGUUGUAAAUUUAGAUGUAGUUUUAGUUCUUUUGUUUUGGUUAAAAAGUAGAAGAAAAAUCAUUGUAAAUCUAUCAUUAUCCAAGGGGUUUGAGCUAGACGUCAAAGCUCAUCGUCAUAGAUUCGCAACUGAAGUUAAGCGUCAGCAAAUUAAUUUACCUCACAAUCACUUACCAAUGUAGUGGGAAGGAAAUGAAUAUAUAUAUAUAUAUGUAUGCAUGCCAAAGUACCUCAAAAUCUUGGGUUAGUCUUCAGUACAUCUCAAAUGGAUAUAAGCAAUUUACUUUUAAUCUUCAGUUCAAGAGAUUUUACAAGUUAGAGAAUCAAAUACAGGAUCAGGAGAGAUGCAAGAAAUUAUCUAAUGUUUCAUGUUAUUCAUUGGCUUAUUAUUCUGUUGUAAGGAGCAAGUGGUAAUACAGUUAUCUAUGUUUAGCACACAUAACUUGGGUUUUAGUACAUUAUUGAAAUGAUGGUGCCAGUUUGUUGUCUGGUGGCUUUAGUUGCUGGUUCGUUUUAAUAUUCAGAUUCUAUUUAUUUUCAUUGGUUUCAUUUACCACUGAAAAAGAGUGUUUUUUGACAAAAAAAAAGAAAAAAAGGAGUGGUUUAUUUAGCAGGAAAACUGAUAUACAAGAGAACAUGAAGUAUGCCUAUAUAGCCUGUUUGCGUACAAGCCAAACAUCAAAUAGCUACAAACAAACUUAGUCACCUGAUAUUUUAACAAAAACAGAUUAUCACACAGAAUAUAAAAUAAUUACAUUUACCAAUCGCUACUCGCUUGCUUCACCCAACUCAAACCAAAGGGGGCAAAGAUAACCAGGCGACCUCAGAAGAAUUCAAUGUUUUACAAUAGGUAUAAACGUUCAAGAAAAAAAUGGGUUUUAAAUGACAUUAUUAAUCAAACUCAAAAGAUAAACAGUCUUCAAGCAAACUCAUAACCAGGAAGAUACAAGAAGCAACCGGAUUAUAACACAAGAA
rnacentral:lncRNA from 1 species